UGUGCCCAGAUGGGAUUAGCUAGUAGGUGGGGUAACGGCUCACCUAGGCGACGAUCCCUAGCUGGUCUGAGAGGAUGACCAGCCACCACUGGAACUGAGACACGGUCCAGACUCCUACGGGAGGCAGCAUG
rnacentral:rRNA from 1 species